UGUCGCUAGGCAACCCUUGGUGUUGGCUUUGAGGCCCUCAAAGGAUGGGCUUGGGCUGGAAAUCAGAGGUGGUGUGUUAAAAACCACACUGACAAACAGGUUUGCUGCUGUUUAGUGGGACAGGAGGCUCAGCAUCACAUGGCUUUCUGUGUUCAAUGGAGCUAUGGGAGGCUGAAGUUGAAGCUUUUCUUCAUCUUUUUAAUAUCUCAUACUUUCUUUUGUCACAUCUCAUUUAUUCUGUGCUCUUAACUGAGUUUUAGAGCCAGGGGUACGUUUUAUUGCAGCUGUUAAUCCCAUAAAAAUGUCAUUCUCAGCUAGUUAGGGAAGCUCUGGGAAGCCUUGUCUUAGAAGAGUAAUAAAAUCCCUGCUGCAAUGUAGAGAAAAAGAUUGUGUGCCAGCCUUUGGGUACCUGUGGUGUGGUCUGGGACCCACAGGCAGGACUGAGGAUUUGAGUUAUAGGUGACAAGAAAGAGCACGUGGGAAUACUUGAGAUAUUUUUCUUCUUCUUCCUUUUAACUCCAGGUCUUUGAAAUGAGAUUGGAAAACCUUGCUCCAGUGAACAGGAGCUGCAAUCUCUUCCUCUGCAGAGACAGAGCUUUCCCUGAUGGAAUAGGGAACCUUUUGUUCCCUGCCUGGCAAUCCGUGGACCCAGCAUCCCGGCAGGGCUGGGCACAGAGACCCUCUCAAAAGGCACCAGCAGCCCAAGGAGGUGUCAGCCCAGCCCUGCCCUGGUUUAUUCCCCGUGAGGUGCAAAGGGGUGACAACGCUGCCACCACCCUUUGCCAGGCUCUGAGCUCGGUCAGGGAUUAAGAGAAGAUCAAGCCAAGCUUCUUCACACAAAACCUCCAGAGCACUGGCAUCCUGACUGGCAAAUUUAAGAGAAAAGGUUAAUAUGAAACUCACAGCUGAGACACUAAAGGAUAUUCGAGCCAGAAGAAGACCUACAGGCCAAGAUGUCGGCUUGGAUGUUUUGUGUGUAUUUCAAAGCUCUACUUUGACCCCAUUUUCAUGGUUUAGUCUCUGGACUUACCCAAUAUCAAGAGGCUCUGUGCUGAUUACUCUGUUUUCCUGGGACCAGAGGAAAGAUGAAAUAUUAUUUGUGAGCUGCUUUAGAAUUCCUGCUUUGUUCCAGCUGAACUUAAUUCAGUUGUCUACUCUUCACCAUGCUGGGAGCAUGAAUCAAAGAGAAGAUGAUGUUUGUCAAGGCUUGGUCAACGUGGGACCAGAGGGGCUGAAAAGAAAUCCAAAAAAGCUGGAAUGACAAUUGUCUUCUGCCAAGAAAUUCAAGGGCUGUGUGGAUGCCACUGAUUUGACUUCUCUGCUGCUUUCAGAGCUUAUCUGAAGAGUUUCCAUCCCACAAUCACCAGUUUUCCAGACUGGUGAAAAGAACAAAAUCCAUGUGCUAAAUAAAUAUUAAACAUCAAUACCUGUGGUGCA
rnacentral:lncRNA from 1 species